UGGCCAAGAAACUUGUCUUCGACCAUGAGGAUCUCAAGUUGUCUCCAUGAAUGAUCUCAUGACUUACCUAUAGAGAUAUUGAUGUUCUUGUUGCAGGUAUUAGUCCAAAAGUGCAACCAAGUUCCAUGCAAGUAUGUUUGGUUCAAUAAUCAAACUUAACAACAUGUCUUGUUUGAUUAAGGUAGUAUAUUUAACCUAAGAACCAUGCUUAAUUUAAAAAGACUAUGGAGGUACUCACUCGAGCAAUUAGUAUAACCAAACCAAAGCAUACUAACAUAGAAAGAGGGAGCAUGAUAGGAUGAACAAGAUUCAUUAUACUAGAGACAAGAUAAUGAGUGAUGAAGACAAGAGACAAAUAUUUUUUUCUUUUAUUAUUAUUAUUUUUUAAUUUUUAUAUGCAAGGCAAUGCAAAGUGGAGGAUGAAUGCAUUUAAACAAAUAUGCUAUGGUUAAAAUAAAGAUU
rnacentral:lncRNA from 1 species